rnacentral:rRNA from 1 species
AUCGCUCAACGGAUAAAAGGUACUCCGGGGAUAACAGGCUGAUACCGCCCAAGAGUUCAUAUCGACGGCGGUGUUUGGCACCUCGAUGUCGGCUCAUCACAUCCUGGGGCUGAAGUAGGUCCCAAGGGUAUGGCUGUUCGCCAUUUAAAGUGGUACGCGAGCUGGGUUUAGAACGUCGUGAGACAGUUCGGUCCCUAUCUGCCGUGGGCGCUGGAGAAUUGAGGGGGGCUGCUCCUAGUACGAGAGGACCGGAGUGGACGCAUCACUGGUGUUCGGGUUGUCAUGCCAAUGGCACUGCCCGGUAGCUAAAUGCGGAAGAGAUAAGUGCUGAAAGCAUCUAAGCACGAAACUUGCCCCGAGAUGAGUUCUCCCUGAGACUAUAAGUCUCCUGAAGGAACGUUGAAGACGACGACGUUGAUAGGCCGGGUGUGUAAGCGCAGCGAUGCGUUGAGCUAACCGGUACUAAUGAACCGUGAGGCUUAACCUUACAACGCCGAAG